AUCCGGAUCGAGACUGGCCUUCGGGCGAGCGAGCUUGCUGGCGUCGGUCGCAUGAGCGAGGUUCCUGAAACGGAAUCACUCGUCUUUCAGUGGUGGGUUUUGAUCAUACACCUAUGUCAUAUGAAAAUGGACAAGUGAGCUGCUCGCCGUGCUCCUUUCUUUCCAAAUUUUCAGCAGCUGUUUGAAUAUGAACAGCCCGUGCAAUCAAAGUGCAUCGAUGAGGGCUUGCGGUUUCUAUGUAGCUUCUGGGUUUCCAAUCGCCUUCCCUGAGAGGCUCCCUCGGCAAUUUUCCGCUGGCAUUCGUUCCAUCAUCAGAAUCAUGAUAAUUCGCACCGCUAUCAAACAUGGUUUCAUAAAUUGAUCGAUACCAGUAGCUUAUUCACAUGUAGAGGUCGCGACGUCUCUUUCUUGCUACAGGCUGGCAUGCCAGUUCCCGCAUUCUUUAGGUUCUCUAUGUUUCUGCUUCGCGGCAACACGUAGGUGCGGGCAACAUCAUCGCCGGGUUAGCAAGGGAAAAACUCGACGUCGUCAUCAGGCGAAUUGUUCACAAAUUCAUGCCGAGAGUUCAUUGAACUCGUCACGUCAUAUAAUCGAUUCCGUUCGAACGACGAGUACUCCUCUCUAUAUGCCCAUCAAUGAAACGGCAUUCCAGUGCAGCAUGUUCUCACUCGAGUAUAUGCCCCCAGAGGCUUCCUUCGCUUCUGUUUGCGUGGAAAAGGGUCUUGGACUCGUACUUGACGCUUCCGAGCGAUUCCUCUUGAUGAAGCGUGCUUCACCGCUCGGUACGAGUGGAGAACAGACGGAUCGAAUGUUCUCGAAUUGUUCUCUAGUCUGGAUGAUCCUAUAUGUAGUUGUUUCAUCAUGGACAGCAUGGCAUUCCACAAAUCCUGUAUCAAAUGAAACGGCGUAUGCGUACGCUUGCUGCAUCCGACGAACUCGCUGAGGUGAUUGCUCAGAAGAAGCCCAAAAUCUUAUUGUUCUGCACCGUGAGCGGAAAAGGAGCACGGAACUCGGGGCGCCUCCUGUACUCGUCAAGGGCAUGUGCCGAGUGAUGAAGCAAACGUCCAUGCACCACAGGGUUGCCCUCGAAGGAGAAGGUGUGGUGCACAUCUAGGAACACCUCACCAACGUCAAAUGUCAUCACCGACGGAGGCGCAACGAAGUUGCGUCCAAGGAAUAUGGCACCGACAAGCGAAGCGUAGAUCACAACUUUCGCCUGUGCAUGAAACGUGUCGACAGCGGUUGGAAGUCGCGAAACCUGAACUUGAACGAUGCCAUCCAUGUCGUUCAACUGCUCAGAAUAGAGCUGACGGAAAAGGAAAGCCUUACCUGGUUAAAGCCAGAGACAAGAGGGAAAAAAAGGAAGCUGUCGCUGAGAAACCCCGCAAUGGCUAGUAUUGAUGAUAGAGAGAAGAAACCGAAACUAUGCAUUGCUCGCCGACUUAGCGCUGUUGACCCUUUCUACGAUAUUCUGACAUGGGGGUAAAGU